CCACGCCUGGCUAAUUUUUAUGUUUUUAGUACAGACUGGGUUUCAUCAUGUUGCCCAGGCUAGUCUUGAGCUCCUGAGCUCAAGGUAUCUGCCCACCUCAGGAGUGCUGGGAUUACAUGAGUAUGCUACCAUGCCCUACCUUAUCUCUUAUUAGUGAAAUUUAUAUACUUUAUUGAAGGAUUUUCUGGGGAAUUCUGAAAUGAAAUAUUUUAGGUUUUUUUUUUUACACUGUGAACCAGCUUGUGUGGGUUUUUUUUUUUUUUUUUUGCCUCCUGUAUUGUUUUCCUCAGAAAGUCACUGAAUACCCAUGCAAAAAAAUCUGUCAUGGAACAUUACAUUAUCUGUACAUGACUACAGAAGUUUUGGGUUUUUUCCAAUUUGUUUUGAUAGCAAUUACAUUUUUCCUAUUUUUCUUGAGGUAAGCAAUGUAUCUUUGCCAUAUAUUAUGAAAGAACUAAGAGAUAUACUUAUUCAUGUUACAGUACACAUUAACCACUUCACGGUGGCAGUUGUAAAGGUUAAUACUUUAAAUGCCGCUGCAUUUUAAUUUGACAUUUGACUACAGAAAUUUAAAUGUCUACAUGUAUUCAGCAUAUUGUUUUAUAUAUUCAUAUUUUUAUAUGUAUCAGUCACCUUUAUCUGCAAAUAGAUCACAAUCUUAGAUAGUAUUAACUCAGAGAACAUGAGUGGAUAGGUAGCUGAAGAAUCACUAAGUAUUUUUUAAAAUAAAAUCAGGAAUUUUUGUGUGGGGGCGCUAGGGGGAAAUAUUUGAUUUGUGGAUGGGGAAAACAAGUUAACUAUCACUGAAGCAGAACAUUUUGGAAAUUUCUUUUUGUCAGUGAGGAGCAAAAAACUGACUCUGAUCUAAGAGUUUGGCUGUAAGUGCUCUCACAAAAGGGACUUCAUAUUAAAAAAGUAAAUGCAAGGUAGGCUUAUAACUAGAAGUUAUUUGAGACAAGAAUGACAUAAAGCCAGGGAUUUCUCCAAGGAAAGUUGUUUGGGAAAAGGAAUUGGGAAUAAUUGAGUUUUACAGGUAAGUGUCUCCCUUGGUGAUCAAUCAGAGUGAGAAAAGCAUCUGUUUUAUAAGAGUGCCAUGUAGAAUUUAAUUAAAGGGGGAGCUAUCAAAGAUGAGCAAGAAGUUUGUGUCAUCCAAGUGCGUAUAGUUGCUAUACUCCCAAACAGAGGAUGUUAUCUAGAGUUGGAAGCUAAAUGGAAAAGUCAGGGGAAUAAGGACCUAUGCUUAAGAGAAAUGAGUAGAGGCUAUGUCUCUACUAAAGACGCAACAUGAAGAGUUGGUAAGAGUAAUGAGUAAUUUAAUGCAUUAGUUUAAAAAUACAUGAAGAUAAAAGAUGAAAUGAUACUGUGUUCUGUGUUAAUAUUAAGAGUCUUGAAAUUUUGUAUUGCCUAUAUUCAUUCAAUAACCUGAAAGGACUUGAUUGAUACCAGUAUAUAGUAGGUUAAACCAUAUAAAAUUUCCAUCAUUCAACCAUUUUAGCCUAUGAAAAUUUUGUAUGGGUAAAAUUAAAGCCUUUGUAGUGAAUAUGAUUAUGCUUUCCCAUUUAAGCAAUGGGAAACAUAAACAACAUUUAUUUUGUCAUUUUCCUGGAUUAAACUAAAACUGACAUCUUCUGAGUUUUAACUAGCUAAAUGGAUGUUAAAGGAAAAAAGUAAUGCUGAGAAUUCUGGGAAGAUAGCAGUGGUAUCAAAAGGCAUACAAAUUCCCACAAAACUUAGUUAACUAGAUAGCAAAACCAAAAACCCAUGAUUAAUAUUUAUAACAAAAUGAGGUGAUAAGGUAUCCUCAUGAACCCCAAAACAUGUGUUGGUGGGGACAAACCACCAGCAACCACAGGACCUGCUUGGUAUCAGCAUCUGUGCUAAAAGAAGCAGUAAGUACAACAUGGUUGGCAUCUGACAGCACUGAGAAAAGGAGAACCUCAGAAGAGCUAAUAGAUCCUCACUGGGAAGCAAAGUGGGCUAAUUUAAACAUAGAAGCUGACUGAGAGGGGUUUUGCCCUUUAGCACAUGAUCACAAUAGAUCUGCACUAAGGAGGACUUAAAGGGGCUCAGGCAAUGUCAAAAUAGACCCAGGAGGGCUCCAGGACCCCAUACUGAGGAGAAAUUUCAGGAAAUGAAAAUUGAAAAGGGUUGAGACAUGGUUAAGGAAGGAAACAGACCAGAUCAAAGUGGAGGAGAACAGAGCCUGGAAAGCUCAAAGCCAGCCUCCAUCAUUUUGAACAGUACAAAAACAACAGAGGGAGCUCUGUGAAGUUAGGAAAACUACCCUAAUUCACCUCAUUCUAAAAGUUGAGGGAAACUAAUCUCACAUAAAAACAGUAACAGGAAGUAUUAAGGUCAAAUCCUGUACAGUGUUACAAGAAAAAAAGUGAUGUGGAAUAGAACAACAUCCCUAGAGACAAUGAAAUCAAGACAAAAAUACGCCUGUAAAGGCGAAAACCGUAACCUUGCAUUUCAAAGCAAUCUACAAACAAGAAGAUGGUAUAAAACAUGAAAGAAAAACAGAAUCAGCAUUAGUAAAACUAAGAAAUGAAGUGACAGAGUUUAGGAAAAGAAUUAGAAAUAAAAAAUUAUUUCAUAAAUGGAAACUAAACAAGAAGGAACAUAAACAACGGAUAAUGGGUUAAGAAAAAUAGAAGAUGAAAAAAAUUUAAAAGAAGAGUCAACCUUUGGACAAGCGUCCGUGAAGAAGAAAACCAGAGCAGGGAAACAGAACGAAUACUGUAAAAAUACAAUUUAAGAUAAGAGACUUGAAACUACAUAUUGAAGAAACAUUCCAAGUGCCUGAGAAUAUCAACCAGGAAUAAUGAACAUCAGGAUAAAUUCCUUUAAAAUUACUGGACUUGAAAUCAUUUGGAAAUGUAGGGGGGGUGGGGAAGAUGGCAUGACUUAGAAAAUUAGGCUAUCAUCAAACUUUGAUAGCAGAAAGGCUUAAGGAAAAUGUGAGAGAUAAGUAUUUCAUAUCCUGCAUAACUGACUUAAUCAGAGCACAAACUAUUAGCAGGGAAUACUUUUCCAAUAAUCCCUUCAUGAGGAAUCUACUAGACAAAAGAAAAAUUUUAAAAAAAAAAAAAAAAAAAAAAAAAAGAACUAGAGACGUUAAAGACUGCUGAUUUAAAAGAAAAAAGAAAAAAAAAUGAUUUAAAAGCAAAGUGUAGUUAUUUAAUUAAAUAAUUUUUUCUACCUAAGUUCUUGUAGUUUGGAAAUAUAACUUCUGUGGAAUUUUACUUUCACAAACCUGAAGAAACUACAUCUACUUUAAACGUAACAAAUUUUAAGCCACUUAGCAUUUCUACAGUGAAAUUGAUGAUGUUAACCCGUUACUUGUAUAGAACUUUAUAGUAUACAAACACAUGGCUUUAUCUCUUUUAAACUGAAUUGCUUUUUAAAAAUUUCCAUUUAACACCUGUUACAAAAUUAUAUUGAAUUCCUUUGGUUGGUUCUCUGCUCCAUCUAGUGUGUUUCUGUGAACACUCAACACCAUCUUACUCUGUCCUUUUUGCCUACAAAGUCCUAAUUACUACUUUCUUUACCUGGUUAAAUUCUACUUCUUUCUUCCCACAAAGCAUUUCUUGAUUCUUUUGCUAGGCUGGACUAGUGUACAUUUCUGUAUGCUACAUACUUUAUUAGAUGUACUUUCCUCACCUGUAUGUAUUCAUGUGUGUCUCCCUGUCCUAUAGAUUGAAAGCUCACUGAGGGUAGAGAUCACUUCAAUCUUCAUAGUUCCAUGUGCCGUUCUCAGCAUAUCAUAGACACUCAUGAAAUAAAUAAGCUAUUACUGAGAGCCCUUCCCCUCAUUUGUAAUGUACAAAAAGUAAAAUCUCUAUUUGCUCAUAAAUUGCCAGGCAUUGAACACAAAUUAUAUCUGUAUUACAAAAAAUACACAUUAAAAUUCAUUGUUUUCUGUUA